GACACUAACGGAUACACGGAUCCAACCCACACUCCGGGAUAAGCACAUAGUACUUCAUCGGAACAAAUCCGGAACUUUAACAUUAUAGUACACAAAGUACUUCAUCGGAACAAAUUCGGAACUUUAACAGUAGUCGACACAUAGUGUCUCAUCGACUCAAUGUUGGAAUAUCCCAAUACUUCCAAUUCCUAUGACAUGUCAACUAUAU
rnacentral:lncRNA from 1 species